rnacentral:rRNA from 1 species
AUUGAACGCUGGCGGCAUGCUUUACACAUGCAAGUCGAACGGUAACAGGUUAAGCUGACGAGUGGCGAACGGGUGAGUAAUGCAUCGGAACGUGCCCGGUCGUGGGGGAUAACACUUCGAAAGAAGUGCUAAUACCGCAUACGAUCUGAGGAUGAAAGCGGGGGACCGCAAGGCCUCGCGCGAUCGGAGCGGCCGAUGUCAGAUUAGGUAGUUGGUGGGGUAAAGGCUCACCAAGCCGACGAUCUGUAGCUGGUCUGAGAGGACGACCAGCCACACUGGGACUGAGACACGGCCCAGACUCCUACGGGAGGCAGCAGUGGGGAAUUUUGGACAAUGGGCGCAAGCCUGAUCCAGCAAUGCCGCGUGCAGGAAGAAGGCCUUCGGGUUGUAAACUGCUUUUGUACGGAGCGAAAAGGCUCUCUCUGAUACAGGGGGCUCAUGACGGUACCGUAAGAAUAAGCACCGGCUAACUACGUGCCAGCCGCCGCAGUAACAC